rnacentral:lncRNA from 1 species
UGAUCAGCCUCAAGGGCUACACCUCUUGGGCCAUCGGCUACUCCGUCGCCAGCCUCGCCGCCUCGCUCCUCCGGGACCAGCGCCGCAUCCACCCCGUCUCCGUCCUCGCCAGGGGGUUCCACGGCAUCGCGCCCGAGAACGACGUCUUCCUCAGCCUGCCCGCAAGGCUCGGACGCGGCGGCGUGCUCGGCGUCGCGGAGAUGGAGCUCACCGAGGAGGAGGCCAAGAAGCUCCGCCGCUCCGCCAAGACGCUCUGGGAGAACUGCCAGCAGCUCGGCCUCUGAUCUUUAAUUCAUUGGGAUCCAUCUCACUGUGUUUUGGAUCGGGUUCCUUGCUAUUGCUACCCCACGCUGCCGCGUCGCCUUUUUCAAUGUUAGACUUCAUUCAUGUGCUUUCUCGUUAAGGGCUCGUUUGGUGCCAUCCGGCUCCGGCUCGCCGGUCCGUGAGGGCGAGGAGGGAGAAACAAAACCAACUUCCGUGAACAUUGUAGCUACAAUAUAUGAAUAGUGGUGUAUGUCAAGUGAAGUCGGAGUCGGUGGGAGCUUCACCAAACUAGACCUAACUAUAUGAAUAGUGGUGUAUGUCAGGGGAAGUCGGAGUCGGUGGGAGCUUCACCAAACUAGACCUCAUAUAGUGGUAGACCUCAUAUAGUGGUGUAUGUCAAGGGGAAGUCGGAGUCGGUGGGAGCUUCACCAAACUAGACCUAACUGUUCCUGCGGUUUAUUUUUACUGAAAAGUUUAGUGUUCAAGCACCAUAUAUUCAGCUUACCUGAACAAUUUGCACAUGUCGAUAGUCUUCAGAAGGGUGGAUCAAAAUAUUAAUUUGUCGUUGAAUGAAAUAGUAACUCACAGCAAAAAAAACAUGUUCAGUAUGUGCUCUGUAUCUCUGAGAAUUCAGCACGCCAACAUGAAGAGAAUAGGAGAUUGUCCCUUGGAUGGAUUACUGUCUUGCGGUGGUAGUGACCACUGCACCCGAUCUGUCUUCCAAAAGGAACUAGUCUUUCUUCCUUUCUUUUAAAAACUGAGCUAUGAAAUUUUCCCUGUAAAUUUGCCUCCAUCGGAGUUUGGAUGAGGAAGAUAUGGCCUGUGCAAGUUUUAGUUCCUCCCGCGGGCUUAUAGUUCAAUGUUUGUAUUUGGGCCUUCAAAUAUCCAAAGUCCGGGUCCAAUUCCAACUUGUAGAAAAAUCCUUCAAUUAUGUCGUAUUUCUUGUGAUUUUGCAAUAUGCUCCAAAAUACAACACGUAUGCGAUAAUGGGGUUAUUUCAAGUGCCAAGUGACGGGUUAGUAUAAGAAUAUGUAUGAAAAUACCACUUAAAUAGUACUAAAAGUAUGUAAAUAACGAGCAUUAACAAGCAACAUCUAACUCGAUCUCGCAUGAGAAUGAAACGUCAAGAAGAUAAGAAUAGAUCGGAACGCAAGUUCGAGGUUGGUGAUCUGGUCUUCUUGAAACUCUAGCCGUAUGUGCAAUCUUCAUUGGCUCCGUGAGGAAGCUGGCUUUCAAAUACUUCGGUCCAUUCAAGAUUGUGGCCAAUGUGGGAAAGAUGACUUACAAACUGUUGUUACCUGCUUCGUCGUCUAUUCACCUUGUGUUUCGCAUCAGUCAAUUGAAGGCUGCAGUUACUGAAGACGUCGAGGUAUUGCCUUCCUUUCCUUUUGACUUGGACAUUCCUCAAGCGCC